rnacentral:rRNA from 1 species
CCGGUAAACGGCGGCCGUAACUAUAACGGUCCUAAGGUAGCGAAAUUCCUUGUCGGGUAAGUUCCGACCUGCACGAAUGGCGUAAUGAUGGCCAGGCUGUCUCCACCCGAGACUCAGUGAAAUUGAACUCGCUGUGAAGAUGCAGUGUACCCGCGGCAAGACGGAAAGACCCCGUGAACCUUUACUAUAGCUUGACACUGAACAUUGAGCCUUGAUGUGUAGGAUAGGUGGGAGGCUUUGAAGUGUGGACGCCAGUCUGCAUGGAGCCGACCUUGAAAUACCACCCUU